ACUCAACAUAGGACCUCCAGCUUUUGGAUCAGACGGUAUAGUUAGUUGGUGAGGUAACGGCUCACCAAGGCGAUGACGGGUAGCCGGUCUGAGAGGAUGUCCGGCCACACUGGAACUGAGACACGGUCCAGACACCUACGGGUGGCAGCAGUCGAGAAUCAUUCACAAUGGGGGAAACCCUGAUGGUGCGACGCCGCGUGGGGGAAUGAAGGUCUUCGGAUUGUAAACCCCUGUCAUGUGGGAGCAAAUUAAAAAGAUAGUACCACAAGAGGAAGAGACGGCUAACUCUGUGCCAGCAGCCGCGGUAAUACAGAGGUCUCAAGCGUUGUUCGGAAUCACUGGGCGUAAAGCGUGCGUAGGCUGUUUCGUAAGUCGUGUGUGAAAGGCGCGGGCUCAACCCGCGGACGGCACAUGAUACUGCGAGACUAGAGUAAUGGAGGGGGAACCGGAAUUCUCGGUGUAGCAGUGAAAUGCGUAGAUAUCGAGAGGAACACUCGUGGCGAAGGCGGGUUCCUGGACAUUAACUGACGCUGAGGCACGAAGGCCAGGGGAGCGAAAGGGAUUAGAUACCCCUGUAGUCCUGGCAGUAAACGGUGCACGCUUGGUGUGCGGGGAAUCGACCCCCUGCGUGCCGGAGCUAACGCGUUAAGCGUGCCGCCUGGGGAGUACGGUCGCAAGAUUAAAACUCAAAGAAAUUGACGGGGACCCGCACAAGCGGUGGAGUAUGUGGCUUAAUUCGAUGCAACGCGAAGAACCUUACCUGGGCUUGACAUGUAAUGAACAACAUGUGAAAGCAUGCGACUCUUCGGAGGCGUUACACAGGUGCUGCAUGGCCGUCGUCAGCUCGUGUCGUGAGAUGUUUGGUUAAGUCCAGCAACGAGCGCAACCCCUGUUGCCAGUUACCAGCACGUGAAGGUGGGGACUCUGGCGAGACUGCCCAGAUCAACUGGGAGGAAGGUGUAUUUUCCCGCUGAACAUUGAUUGGCCCGCUGAUAUCACCUCUGCC
rnacentral:rRNA from 1 species